AGACUGCAGCCAGUUUAUAUCCUGAGAGAAGAGCAGUAUGCUUUGAUGAAUGCGUCAACAAGGUUCCAGUUAUCUACACUUACAGAAAGGUGUGCACGGAAGGAAACCUGCUGUGAACUUUUAAUGCAGCCGAGUGAGUAUAACUCCCUAAAGGAAAAGAACGUGACUAGAGAGAAAUCCUUGGGAGGAAAGAAAAAUUGCUUACCUGAUAAGGGCCUGGGGAGGCCUUGGAACCUCUCCCUUUUACCCAAAAUUGACUUGCAGAGAGCCCUGAGACGGAGCUAAUUAUCCUAGUUCAGUUUAAUUAAGUUUUUAACUCAAAGUUUUAAGGUACUGAGACCCUGAAAGAAGACAUUUAUAUAUAUAUAUUUUAAAAUCCUUUUUAAGCAUCUUGAUUAUUACCAGGGGAGCACCAGAGCCUCUGCGGUAAUCACUUUGCAGCAACUGAAGAAGUAAACUCACCCCUGCUCCUCCACCACGUUGUCUCUCUUCUCUUUUACAAUUACCUUUUAUCUAUUUAUCUCAGUCAAUGCAUUGUAGCGUGUUUAUUACAACAAUAAAGAAAUAAUUUACAACUUUAAAGAAACAAUGGUGACGACCAGGAGUGGCUGCAAAACCUCAGGCUUUUCUCUGAAGGCUGUAAGACCCACCUUUAAAAGAGCCACUCUAAAGAAAGCACAAACAAAAAUCACUCGCUUCUACAUGAACAGAGCAAAAUGUGGAGCAAAUGAGGAAACGACUGAAAUGAAUGAGAACAAGAACAAGAAGGGAAGGGAAAUUCUACUCUCUCCUACCAAUCCCUCUUACAGCUAUAGUGAAGGACCGGUUAUGCAAAGAAAGGAGUGUACUAAAAGCAGUGAUAGAAGCCUGAAUAUAUUGGAAGCAACACAAAAUAUCUUCGAUACAGCCGAUGAAGCAUCCCCGAAACUGAAAACCAAAUCCCAAGUUCCUCUCGAACCAUCGUUAGAUCAAAAAAUGGAGGAACUAAUGUUAAAACAAAUUUCGGAAUUGGCCUCGGGAAAAAUUAAACCUUCGAAAGACUCUUAUUCUCAUUCCCACGAGACAAAUGAAGAGGAUCUCUCAAUCAUCAAAUGGCUAGUGCUCCUUACUGAGGACAUUGAAUCUAUAAAGUCCUACUUGGACAUUUGCACAAAAAUUCUUACCAUCAUGGCUGACUCCUGUAAAACUCUCUGGAGAAAACCCGGAAUGCCUGCAGAAUUGGAAAGUAAUCAUGGCCUCGCCUCCACCCUUUGUAGGAGUGGCUCAUCAAGGAAGGGUAAGAAAGCCUGCAGAGCUAAUGCUUGUAAAAGGAGAUUCACAGUUGUAAAAAAUGUUAAAAAAAGUAAAAACAUAAAAAUCUUAAGACAGUGUAUUAUAAAAAUGGUUUUUAAAAGCUUUUAACCUACUCGAGAGCACAACAGCCUCUGGGUCUAGAGGGAACCCGGUGAAGUCUUUAGCCAAGAAGCCAGUUAAACAGGAUUUGCCCCCAAACGUCUGUGCUGAUAAAGCUCCGGAUUGUCUAAAACCUUCAGCGCUUGCUCCACCACCAAGCUCUAAGCAAGAUUUAUUGCCCCAAGAUCCAUGGUCCUACGUUUUAACCAUAGAUAACUCCAAAUCCAAUAAGGAGAGCAUUCCAACAAAUAAGAACUGGAAGCUGGUGUUGCUUCAAAACAAAUUUGUUUUUUCUAGCUAUUCUAAGCCUCCAGGAUUUUUAUCUCAAGAGGAUCGCAAAGUCCAUCUAUUGAACUUCCUUAAGGCAUACAUGCCAGGUACUUUGAGUAAUCCCUCGGAGUUGGACCAAGUGGAAUAUCUAUAUUUUGAUGGCUUGCUUGCCAGGGCGGUGGCUACAUUCCAUGAUCGGAGAUUGGCAAAACUGAUAUAUAAACACAGAGAAAACCUAAAGACAAGUGGUGUAAAAAUAUCAAGGUUCUUUAAAAAUGAGGCCUCUCCUAUCCCACUAGUCCCCAGUUCUGCAACUUCGACUGCAGCACCUCAUCAAAAGGCUGAAUACCACACUCUAAUUGAUAUAAAAGCCACUGAGGACUCGCCUAAUCACCACCCAGAGUUACUUACUAAUGAUCCUCAAAGACCAGACUCUCCCGGGACUUUAUAUGAGGCGAGCCAAGGUAACGGGUUCGAAAGUUUUGAAAAUAACUUAAUUUACUCCUAUUGCGCCCUCCCUCAAGAAACUCAGAACAAAAUACUUUAUAGACUGAAUAACCUUCGUUCUUGUCUGACAAAUCUGACGAAGGACCAAUCGGGACCACACAACCAAAAUAUAUCUGAUUAUGUCCCAGAUCAGGCUUCAUGCUUCUAUCGUCAUGAGCUGGAUUUAUGGGUCGGGAAACCCUCCGUUACCCCAGGCCAAUUGGUUACUGCGGAGAUGAAUCCAUCCUCUCAGAUCUUGGAGCCGAAACGCCCUCCUAUAAUCCAGCUCGCAUGCAAUCCAUCCCAGAGGCAAACCUGGUCACUACAUUAGCAUGGGAUAAAAUGAGAGAAUUAGAUGAGACUGAAUUGGGCUCCCCAAAUAAAGUGCCCAGCAUGGGUGCACCAGGUUGCAACCCUAGCAUUCCACCCUCCUCAAAUGUGAGCAUACUGAAUACAUCUUUAAACAUCAUUGAAUUAGCAUCUGAACUAUCUGAACCCGCUGAAAGGGCUACUAGUAAGAACCAGAGAAUCUUGGUGUGACAUACGGAAUGCACCACGCAUACCUCACCAGCACCCUCAAAUCAAAGAUCUCUCCAAACUCUUUCUAUUAUGUCCUGGAAUGUAGCUGGACUCUCAUGUAAAUUAGCUGAUUCUGAUUUUAUAAAUUUUCUUGAGUCUUGUGAUAUAAUACUUUUGCAGGAAACCUGGUCUCUUAAACCUUUAAAUAUCCCUAAUUUUAUUACUUAUAAUUUACCCGCUACUAAAAUGUCAACAAAAGGUCGCCCUAAAGCCGGUUUGAUCUGUGGUAUUAAACAGUCUUCUAACCUGUGGUAUUAAACAGUCUUCUAACCUGUGGUAUUAAACAGUCUUCUAGCAGUAAACUACCAAAAAACAAAAAUCAUGGUUUUCUCUAACAAAAGGAAAAUAUACAGAUGGAAUUUAGACAAUCAGGAGAUUGAACAAGUGACAUGCUUUAAAUAUCUAGGAGUGAUAUUCCAAGCAUCAAGGAAGAAGACUGCCCACAUAAACUACAGCUCCUUUACAGCACAAAAAAGUACAACAGCAAUCCUAAGAUUCCAUCGUACAACGGGAGGAAAUUUCAUUCCUGCUACAAUUAAACUAUUCGUUGCAAAACCAACAGCACAAAUCCUAUACGGCGCACCACUCGUCUCCCUCUCUAAUCUAGACCCAUAUGAGAAGAUACAAUCAGGCUUCCUUAGAUCACUCCUGCAAACACCUAAAUGCGUCCCAAACGCCGCCUUACGACUGGAAACGGGCUUAUACAGCAUUAAAGCCAAAGUAUGGAUAAGAACUUUAUGCACUUGGCUAAGACUUAACAACUCGCCGGUUGGACUACUUUCCCUGAUGCUUCUUGACAAAUUCCAAUCUAGCUGGUUGAAGGGCAUUCUCAGAAAACUGGCCACAUAUGGUCUCUCCCCAGAGUAUUUAUUAAGUUUAGAAAGGGGAAGGGCCAAGAACAUAAUCAAAGAAGGACUCAGGGACAUUGAAACCCAAAAUGACUUUAACCAACUUCCGAUAACCUAUAAACUUCUAUACAAUUCCCAAAGGCCCCAUCUAGCAAACUAUCUCAAAGUUCUAGACAACGCUAAACACCGAUGGGCAUUUUCCAGGGCCCGCUUUAACGCUCUCCCUUCAGCUCUUCUAGAGGGAAGAUACAAUAAAAUACCGAUCGAACAAAGAUUAUGCCCCUGUAACAGCAAUGAAAUCGAAACCAUUGGGCAUGUUAUCUUAUACUGCCCAUUAUAUCGAGACUCAAGAAAAGAGCUGAUCGAACCGAUUCUGAGGAAAAUACCUCGUAGUACAGAUGACACCUAUAUCAGACACCUCCUAGCUGACAAAGAGCCCGAAAUUAACAGGUCCGUGGCAAAGUACUGUUACAUUGCAACAAGAAUAAGACGAGCAAUGAUGUCUACAAAGGAGUUCAAACUGUAAACAUCGAAGGAACGAUAAUAAACAGUAGCGACUCCUGAAUCGAAUUUUAAAAACUUAAAAUUCGAAACCUGGUCAUAAAUAUAAGCACCAAUUCUGUGAAUUGGCCAUACUUUUACUGUUACUUGUAGCACAAUACUACUCUUAAUGUCAUACUUUAUAAAUUGCUUCCUGGUCAUUGACCGUAUUAAAGAUAUUUGAUUUUUGAUUUUUUUUUUAUUUGAACCUUAAAAUUAAUUAUAUCAGAAAUAUUGGACAGUAUGCACAAUUGUUAUCAUUUACCAUUGUUUACAGGGAAAUUCUUCUUUUAAAUAUAUAUUUUCCUCCCAUAGAGUUGGAAAUUAGACCAGAUUAUGGUUGGAAUAUAGUCUCUGAAGAGCUGUAUUUAAUACGUAGUAAAUCUCCAAAUAUUCCCCUGAUUGUAAUGGGAGACACCAAUGCUCGAAUUGGAUCAGAUAAUAUAGCUCUCUAUAAACGCUAUGUCUCAAAUCUAGCUGAAGAUGCCCCACUUCCAUUGAGAAUAGGGAGGAAUUCAAAGGACAUCAUUAUUAAUAAAGCGGGAGGAAAACUUUUACAAUUGGUUUUAGAAUUUAACCUCUCAUUUUUGAAUGGCUCAAUGUGGCCGGAUAUUCCGGGAAAUUUUACCUUCAGCUCCAAAAGGGGUAGGAGCGUAAUUGACUAUGCUCUAGUUUCCGUUGAAAUGUUAAAUGAAGUUGCCUCUUUUACAGUUGUACCUCGCUCAGAGAGUGACCAUUUCCCAAUAGUUUUAGAGAUGUACAGGAAUCCUAGAAAUAAUGAUAUUAGUCCUCUUAUUAGUAUUGAUAACCCUAUUUAUGCCAAAAGAAUUUAUAUAAGUGAUAAAAAUAGGGAGGAUUUAUUGGCUGUAUUUGAAAAUAACCCAGUUAUUCUUGAACCUGUGGCUAACCAAAAUUUGAUGCCCUUGGAGGACAAUGAUUGUUAUAAGACUAUCCAGGAAUUAUUUUCUUCUUUUUUAGACCCUCAGUUCAGCAACAAACCUUUAAAUAAGUAUAACUGGUUUGAUAAAGAUUGUAUUAACUAUAAGAAAGAACUUAGAAUUUGUCUAAAAGAAGCCUAUACUACCAACUCUCAAGGUCUCUGGAAGACUUAUUUUGAAAUGAAAAAUGCUUUUAAGAACAUGCUCCUGGAAAAAAAAUCUGAGUUUGCACUAGCCAAAUGGUCUAAAAUUGUUACUGCAUUAGAAAUCAAAGAUACCAAAACUUUUUGGUCACUUCUCUCAAUAAAAGAUAUCACUGAUUUCCCUAAUAUAAGCGAUGAGGCUUGGAUUUCACAUUUUACUGAUGUUUUUUAUGAUCACCAAGUUUGUAAAAGGAAAAUUUUAAAUUUUCUUUGGCAAAAACCACACAAUUUCAAAUUACUGUUGAGGAGAUGAAAAGGAUAAUUUUUUUUGUUUAAGCAAGGGAAAUCACCUGGUAUGGAUGGCAUUCCAAUAGACCUGUUGAGAUUAGAUGUAGAAUGGUGGGCCAUUAAACUUGUGCCGCUUUUUAAUUCUAUCUAUCACUCAGCCCUUGUACCUAAGUCGUGGAACAACUCAAUAGUGGUACCGAUCUUUAAAAAAGGUGAUAGGAAUUGUCAAGAGAAUUACAGGCCUAUAAGUCUGUUACCAUGCAUAAGUAAAAUCUAUGCCAAAUCUCUGCUUAUUAAAUUGGAAGAAUGGAUGCUGACAAAAGGUCUACCUGGUAAAGAGCAGGCUGGUUUUAAGGCAGGCGCGUCAACUCUUGACCAGUGUCUAGUGUUAAGUCAUCUUGUGGAUAAAUAUGUCAUAAGAAAUAAACGAAAACUCUUUGUGGCAUUUGUGGAUUUAAAAAAGUGCCUUUGAUUCGGUCGACCGUAACAAACUAUGGACUAAACUAGAACACCUUGGUAUCGACCCAUAUCUACUUACACUGAUUCAAAGUUUACAUUCUAAUAACCAAAUAUAUGUUAAAGUAUCAAAAGAUGGUAGACUUGCAGGUCCUAUUCUGAAUAAUCGAGGAGUUAGGCAAGGCUGUAUCUUGGCCCCUACCUUAUUUAAUUUAUUUUUAUCUGACCUACCAUUAUUUCUUCAAAACGCAACCACUCAUACUCCUUAUUUAAACAAUAGCCCACUUUUUUAUUACUUUAUGCAGAUAAUGCUGUAAUUAUUUCACUCUCUGUUUUGGGUUUAAAAAAUUAUUUAAGAGUUUCUCAAACUACUGCUCUCUCAAUAAUCUCAAAAUUAAUUAUGAUAAGACAAAGAUUAUGCAAUUUGGAAAGAGAGGGAACCCAAAAGGCUGUAUAAUUAAUGGACAUUUAAUACAGGAAGUUAAGCACUUCAAUUAUCUGGGAAUCACAUUUAAAAAUAAUAUGAAUUGGAAUACACAUAUAUGUGCUGCAAUAGUUAAGGCCAAAGUGACAGCCCACCAUAUUAAAUCCUACUUUUUUUCUCCAGUAGGAAACAGAUUUAUUCCAGCUGUAUUGCAAGUGAUUGACAUGAAACUUUGUGCCCAACUUCUAUACGGCACACCAGUGUGGAUUUCAGGUGACCUCAAGAGGUUGGAUAAAUUCCACGCAUCCCUUCUGAGGUCAUUAUUAGGACUUGCAAACUCUGUAAAAUAUGAAACAAUAUGUUGUGAGCUGGGAAUAUUGCCUUUAUCAGUAAGAGCAUGGUUGAGGACCUUGAAAUAUUGGAUCUUCCUCCAUUAUAGAACCCUAUCCCCUAAUUCUCUACUUUACGAUCUUUUAAGUGAUAGUGCAAUCUACAAUCUAUCAUUGAUUUGCAGGAGAAAACUGGAUUCGAUAGGGCUCACUCUAAUUGACUUUGAAAUCUCUGAUCCCAAAGACAUAUGGGAAAUUAUCAGGAAGACUCUUACAGAAAAAGUGUUCUCGCCAUGCUUGAGGCUGCAAAGCACAGCACUUGCUCUCCUAUCCACUUAAAUCUCCCUUUGUGUAGAGAUUUCCAAAGGGAUACAUGGCAAAUCUGAAGAAACAUGAAUUGUGUAGGCUGUUUAUGUUGGCCAGAUUCAACAUGUUUCCUCGGUGGUAGUGAGAGGAAGAUACUUAGCUAUCCCAGAAUCAGAGCGUCUCUGCAAAUGCAGAAAACAGGAACCCGAUACUCUAGAGCAUAUAUUCUUUUCCUGUGAUUUUGGUAGUUAUGCCAGAAAACAAUUAUUUGAGGCCCUAAAAGUUAAUAGACAGAUUUUUACACAACCAACUGUUCAGGACCUGCUGGCGGACAGCGAUGAUCAAAUUACUUUAAUAGCGGCUGAAUUUUUAAGUGCUGUCCAUGAAGAAAGAAUGGGCCAUGAUAAAGAGACUUAGUGGUUUUUAAUGGUAGGUGAUGUUGUUGUGUUGUAUUAUAUUAUCUAUGUACAUCAAUUUAUUUCUUGGAGUUAAGAAUAGGACUGGGAUAAAUUGUGUUCGCUGAGCCCGUAUUUUAUACAGUCUGUAUAUGAUGUUUGUUUGUUAGUGUGUGGUGUGCUAUGCCUAAUAAAGGAAGAUGAUGA
rnacentral:lncRNA from 1 species